rnacentral:lncRNA from 1 species
GACAGCUUGGAGAGGGGUGGAUAUGGGUAAAGACCAGCCCCCACAGCAGACAGCCCCCAAAGACAGACACUGUGGAGCUAAGAACAGCCUGAAGAAAGGGCAUGGGUGUGAGGAGGGGACCCCCUUUGCGUGGCCCAUACCCCCCUUACACCUCACACCAUGAGGGGUGAUGGCACCGCCCCCAACCUCCAGCGCGCUCAAAGGAGCAGCUGCUCUGGUGAUUUCUUCCACACUCCGAGGGGCGGGCCCAUGGGCGGGGCCGUUUUUGUACAAAGCUGUAACAUUGUGGGGACAGCAGGCCACGGUGAUUCAACUUUAUGGACAACCUUUACAAAAACCUUUCUGCCUGUCCCAACGCCUGCCGUCCCUCCACUUUUCUCCCAGGUCCCAGGCCCAGGCGUGGUUUGAAUCAGAAUGCCUCUGCCUCACCCCUGUCUCCCUGUCAAGCCAAGACCAUGAGUAAGGAUAGGCCUGGCUCAAAACUGAAGCUUCCAGGCAGACAGCCCAGACCAGAUGCAAGAAGAAUGCCUCAGUGGCCUCAUGGGUGAAGGACUCAGGGACAUCCUUUCAUCCCAAUCCCCAUGGAACCUGGAACAAGGUCAGUGGGAAGGUCCAUGGAGAUGACCCGUUCUAUAAAGGAAGAAGCCAGAGAUAUCCUGGCUUUCCAUGGAUGCGGUAAUGAGAUCUGGGACGCUGCCCUCCUCUCCAGGCCCACAUCCCUUUGAUGGACCCCCGGAGAGAAUUGAGGGCCUCUGGAUGGCCUCUGGUCACACUCCAUGGCCCCAAAAGUCAAAAGUCAAAAAUGUUGUUUUGCACUAUAUCUAUAAAGCACAGGAGGGGAAUUUUUAUCCCAGAGUCCUCCAGACCCCAGCCAGGGCCCCUCUUCUCUCCAUGCCUCAAAUUCAUUUUUCUCCUUGCCCCAUGUCACUGUGUGAACACUGAAGUCUUCUUCGGAGAAGGCACGAGGCUCACGGUUGUAGGUAAGACAUAUCCCAGGUCUUUCCAGGCCCCUCAUAGGGGAAAGCGGGUCCAAAGUCUCCAUUUUGGAGUGGCCGUAUUCUGAUGUGUUAACUAUGACUAUCACUUUGGCCCAGGAACUAAGCUGACGGUCAUAGAGAACCUGAACCAGGUGACCCUACCCAAGGUGGCUGUGUUUGAACCUUCGGAAGCAGAGAUCUCCCGCACCGAGAAGGCCACGCUCGUGUGCCUGGCCACAGGCUUCUACCCCGACCACGUGGAGCUGAGCUGGUGGGUGAAUGGGAAGGAAGUCCAGACUGGGGUCAGCACGGACCCUCAGCCCUACAGGGAGCAGUCAGAUGAUGAAAACCCCAGCUACUGUCUGAGCAGCCGGCUGAGGGUCUCUGCUGCCUUCUGGCACAACCCCCGCAACCACUUCCGCUGCCAAGUCCAGUUCUUCGGCCUCGAGGAGAACGAUGAGUGGAAAGAGAACCGGACCAAACCUGUCAGUCAGAUGAUGAAAACCCCAGCUACUGUCUGAGCAGCCGGCUGAGGGUCUCUGCUGCCUUCUGGCACAACCCCCGCAACCACUUCCGCUGCCAAGUCCAGUUCUUCGGCCUCGCGGAGAACGAUGAGUGGAAAGAGAACCGGACCAAACCUGUCAGGCAGAACAUCAGUGCUGAGGCCUGGGGCAGAGCAGACUGUGGCCUCAGCUCAGUGUCCUAUCAGCGAGGGGUCCUGUCUGCCACCAUCCUCUAUGAGAUUCUUCUGGGGAAGGCCACCCUGUAUGCUGUACUGGUCAGCGCCCUCGUGCUGAUGGCCAUGGUCAAGAAAAAGGAUUCCUGAGACCAGCUCCAAAAGUGUAUCCUGGGUUGUUCUUAAUCCUUACCCUAGAGUGUCAUUUACGUGCUUCCAAUCUGUGUUCCUAAAGAGUUAUUCUCUGUCUACCUUUUAUCUCCUUUCUGCAUGUCUGUCCCUUCUCUCUGCUUCCCUGAAUCUGAAAUAGACUAAGGUAAUAAAAGUGUCAUGCUGGAUCUGGCCGUGUCUCAGGAGUGUCUAUGGAGUUCUGCCCUUCAAAGACCUACCUUCUGAUUUGGAGAAAGCAACACCCCUCAGGCAUAUGGAGUGACUGACCCACCCUCCUCUCUGAUCAAUGCUACUUCCUCCUGUUCAUCCUGAUGGAGGAUGGACCCCAUGGCUCAUACCCAGGCAUUUGGGAUCCCCAGCAUCUAGUGUUAGUCUGAAGGGCUUUAGGAGCUGGACUCUGGAAAACCUGCAUAAGGAUGAGCACAGGGGAACUACAGCCCCACCCUCAGCUUGGGACAGAGGACAGAGCAGACCUGUGGGGUUAGAAUGCCUGGCCAUUUCUCAAUUCCAGAUUCAAUUUUCAUUUAUUAUGCAUUUAGGUGUUAUCUCUAUCUGUUCUUAACAUCUCCAUCUUAUCUUGAUUUUAGAUUUCAACAUAAGAUUUAGUUCUACUCUGCAUAUCUAGGUUAGAAUCCCAAAGAAGGCACAGAGCUGAUACCACUGAUAUAUGAAGUCUAGAAAUUCCACAGAGGCAGGGCACAUGGGUCAGGCCCGGAGGAGGAAUGGAGAAGGGAACGGUCCAGUGGGGGCUGAGGUGCUACACCAAGUAGCCCUUCCAACAAGAACCUUCACUUGAUGGGAUGGAAAGCAAGCCACCCCAAAUGCAGCAUGUUAAGUGCAUCCACUUGGGCAGAGACAGUUACCUCACUAGAAUAAACUCUACAUGCGGGUUAUAUUCACUGUGGUAGAACACUGCCCUAGGGGAGGCAAGGGAUGCAAUUAGAGGACAUAGGCAUAGACCAGUGAAAAGGCCAUGUGCAAGUUACUUGAGGUUGAAUGUAAGGGGUGAGAAGGAAGUCUGAAAGCUGAGAAAGCGUGGGGAAGAUAGAGUCCCUUAUUGAUAGCCUGCUUUGUUCCAGACUUUAGGCUGGGCACUGGCACACGUGUUGUCCCUGUUAAUCCCCACAAUGAGCCUACAAGUGGGUAUGAUUCUCCCUACUUUAUAGGUGAAGAAACCACAGUUCAUAGAUCAAAUGACUGGCAAGCUGUGAAACUGGCCCAUUCAAGAAGCUUUUUCCAAGUAGUGGUCAGGACGAUGUGACUGUCACGGGGUGACCCUGGAGCAUCUGCUCCCAAACUCUAGCACGGGACCCAUGGUAAAGACUGAAGAGACCUUGAUUCCUGAGUGUAUUUGUUUCCUAGCACUGCAGUAGCAAAGAACUGCAAACUUGAUGGUUUAAACAAUAGAAGUGUAUUCUCUCACAGUUCCAGAGGCCAGAAGUCCAAGAUCAAGGUGUGAACAGGGCCAUACUCCCUUCAAAAGCUCUAGGGGAGAAUCUUUUCUUGCUUCUUCCCAUUCCUGAGCCUCCUGGCAUUCCUUGUCUUGUAGCAGCAUCACUCCAACCUUAUGCCUGUCUUCACAUCACCUUCUGCUCAUGUCUCUGUGGCUCUGAGAAUUUUCCUCUCCUUUUUCUGAUCAAGACACAAGUCAUUGGAUUUAGGAUACACCCUGAAUUCAGAAGGAUUUCAUCCUGAGAAACUUAACAUUCACAUCUGCAAAGAACUUAUUUACAAAUUAGGUCACAUUCUGAGGUUCUAGGUGGGCAUGAAUUUUGAAGGGACAAUAUUCAUCCUACCACACUGAGUAUCCAGGAACCAGACAUGGGGGGUUCUCUAGACCAGCUCACACAGCCAGGAAAGGAUGUGGCCCAGGGCAGGCGUGGCCCAGGAAACUCAUCACAUGCCUGUAACUUCCCAUCAGUUGUAAUUAUCUCUAGACUUCUCAGACUGCAGUAUGGUUUUUUAAGUGUUGUUGUUUAUUUGUUUUUAUGAUGCCGAAAAAAGUCCCAAAUCAAAGAAGACAGCGUUUAGGCCCUAAACCAGCACCCACAGAAGCAGUGCCUCCUCUUUUUUAGACAUGUAUCAUGGCUCCUCCCAAGGCUGGGACGAGGAAAUAAGCAGCUGAAGGGAAAAGCAAAUGCCUCAGAGAGAACAGGGCUUGUGCAGGCCAGAGGGGGUGGACUGGCACAGGGUGUUGGAGGCCAGGGGCUUGCACGAGCAGAGCUGUGAGCAGGGAGCUGACUAGCUGUAGGGCAAAGAUCAAGGUGGAGGUGGGGAGAGGAAGGUUACCCUCACAGAGGGGAAAUGAGAUCUGUGGGCUUGGUGACUGUCACCUUGGGGAUGCUGAAAGUAGAGGCAUUAGCAGGUGGGAGGAUGUGGGAAGACUGCUGGUCGGCACCUGGGGUUGGCCAAGGUGACGAACGAAUGUGGAGGAUAAAUGACUUGGUGCACUUCACUCUCUCACACCAGGAGACAUAAUAGAGAUGGAGAAAGUUACAGACCCCAUUUGGUCCCCACCCAACACCCUACUUGACCUAGGGAGAGUUUCCUUUCCCAAAUUUUUACAGCCAUUUCCUUGUCUCUCUCAGACAAUGCCACCCCCAACAUUCAACUCACAGGCACUGGUAAGUUAAUCUCUUAUGCCUCUGCCUCUUUCUCUAGAAUCUAAGUACAUUCUUUUAGACCAAUUCUCUGGUCAUCCCAUGCAUUUUUCCUCAGGUGAAUGAUAAAAGAUGGGUUAGAUGUGGGGCAAUCAUAUCAUUUACUGUACAACUCGGGACACUAUUGAGAGUGAAAGAUGGGAUGCUAGGAUAAAAAGAGUAAGUCAGGAUUGUCCUGGCAAACCAGGACAUGUGGUCACUCCAGUUAAAAGCGUCCUGAGAAAGCUUCUGGGUCCAGAGUUAUUCCUGGAAUGGGAAAAACCAAAGCAAUUCCUCAUUGACCUGGGCCUAUCAACCUAUUCCAAUCUAAAGGCUUAUCUAAGCUUCACCCUAUUAAGAAAAUCUGUGGGAAGAAUGUGGUCCAGGAGCAAACUCGACUAGUGACACCCAAUCCAGGGGCAAAGCAUGCUUGUUGAUUGAGGAGAAUGUAGAAGCCGGUAUUUCUAGAAGAACACCUGUGGGAUGCCGAGUUCUCACCAUUCCAUGGGGGACAACAGGACUCCCCAUGGGUAGCACUCCAGGAGAGGAACCUCAAACCUGUGCCCUUUAGAGAGUUAUUCUGAAACUAGGAGGGGAAAGGACACAUCCAACCAGUCAUGUAAUAAUGGGAAUGUCCUGGUGGAAGAACAGGAUUCCUGUGGUGAAGGGAAGCUGGAGUCACUGUCACUGGCCCAAGAGAAAUUCUCCUAUCAGCACCAGUAUCCGCUAGAGACCUGAAACCCUUCCUACUGCACAGCUCAUGGCCAGGCUACAGAAGGUUUGGCAGUGGGACUUGGGGAGUAGAGGAGGUUGGGACCAUCCAAGAGACAAAGACUUAUUCUCUCUUAAGUAAGCAACUAAGCAAGAGUAUUGGAGAGAAGAAAGAUAAAAGGAUUUUAGAACAAGAGAGGCUGAGAUAAGAGGAAUGGAUGCUGAUAGAUACUGAUACCUUCAUUUCCUUCCUUGAGCCAUUUCCUCAUUUUUCUUCUUCCAUAGUGACACAGAGAUGGGGAGCCUGACUUGUAUCAGUCCCUAACAGUCUAUGUGACACACAGCCCCAAAUGUCCCACGUGGAGGAGUUCUUGAGGUCGAUCUGCUCAGGGAUAGAUGUGGGAAUGGAGUGUGUUUUUUUUUGUAUGUGUACAAAAAAACACACUCAUACAUAGAUGCAUUGCAUUUAGGGGUGUUAGGAGACGUUGAUGGUGAGCACAGGAAUAAUUCAAAACCCCAGGUCAAUUCCUAGCAUCGACACUGAGCUAUGAAUGAAUCUGUCAUCUGCAACCCCACUGACCUCUUCUUAAACUUUCAUCACCAAUUUCCCUUUUACAUGUCCAUGGAAAUUAGCCUUUGCCUACAUAAGAACACCCACAGUAGAGAAGGCCACAAAGCCUGGGCAACAAUUUUAAUUACAGUUCAUUCCUGUUACUUGUAGCAGACCCACAUAGUUUCUAGAUUUCUGGACCUUGAGACCCAUAAUGUGAGACAUUAUCCACCCUAUGUGGGCCCUGAACACAAAGCAUUCCUCGCCUCAGUCUAAGGUUGCAAAUCCUCUCCUCCCAUCUUGGUGACUUUCUUUUCUUGUGCUGUAUUUGUAGAUCUGGAGUCUCUGGGUUCUUAACACAUCCUACAACUCUGCUGUCCUUAGGAUUUAUUGUGACAGUACUCGGUCAUGACCUGAAUCACCUCCUUCCAACAAACGACAUAUUCUAUGCUCACCACACCCCUCCUCUACAGUCUCAACUACAGGUCUUUCUCUUCCAUCUCCAUUCAUCGUCUUUACAACUCCUAGGAGGGCUUCUUGGGGAAAAUUGGGUCCCAGAGAUGAGUGAAUAGAUCUGUAUGUCAGCAAGAAGACUCUGAAAAUGAGCCCAAAACUGUGACUAUUUCCAUAGAAGUUUCAUCAGCUUGUCUAACUUAUGUCAGCUGUCCUCUGUGAUAUGAGGGAUGGUCUUGACAGGAAGACUGUGUUCCAGGGCUUCCUGUGGACCCAGCCUCCUACCACAACCUGACCAGACUUGCUGACAUAAGGAAGUGCAUUUUAAAAUAGAGACUUGAUGGUGAUACUAGGUGUGACUCCUCUUGGCCAAGUUCUAGGCCACUCCAGCAAUUACAACUCGGCCCUCUUCACCCUCACUCCCACGAUGGGACUUCAUCUUGACCGGAUCUUGGAAUCAUAGACACUUGGGGUGGUAAACAAGCAUAAUUUUCAGAGUCUUGAAUCCUCCUCAGUUAUGUUUGACCUGUCCUGGGACAGAGAAUCCUCGACCUGUCUGGAUAGGCCAUUUCAUCACUGGACAACUCUAUAAAGAAUUUUGUCUUGCAUAGGUAUCCAUAAAUCUCAUUGUAGUGCCCCUCAUUGGUCAUAAUUACACUCCUAUGAGAGCCCUUCCUAAGACAGCUAGCAUGCCCACCUCCAACCAAGAGUCCACAAAUCUAUGAGAGACAGAAUAAGCAGAACCUUUAAAAGCUUGAGUUUGCAGAACGGAAGAAGCAUGCAGUAGAUAGAGGAGAACAUCACAAUAACAAAGAGUAUGGACUUUAAAGCCAAAGAGACAUAGGUUCAAGCCUUACAUCUUCCACUUCUCAGCUGUGUGACCUUGGGCAAGUGACCACCUCUGAGGCUCAGCUUUCCUUCCUAUAAAAUGGGCUCAAUCACAACCCCAACUUCAUAAGGUGGUUUCAUCCUCUUUAAUUCACACAACACUUAAAGCUGUUAUCACAGUACCAAUAAAUGUUAGCUGUUAUUAUAAUUAUUAUUAUUAGCCUAAAGAUUUUUCUUCAGGCCAAACAUUUCCAGUUCUCUCAAUUUUUGUCUCAUAUGGCACAGUGUCGAGCACUUCCUACUCUCCACAGCCAAGCCCUUCUCUUCUGAAACAUUUAUGUUUGUUUUUACUCUUCCACCUUUCCAGAAGUGUGGGGUUCCGAACAGGACGCAGCACCAGUGGGUUCUGACCUACACAGAGCAUGGAGGGAGCUUUACCUCCUUAUUGUCCAUAUCUUCUACGUACUCCAUUGGGGCAACUUCUCACUGUCUGUCCCCACACCGCCCCACUGACUCACACAGCUCACUUUUGACUCAGACCUUGGGUUUUUUCACACACAUCGCCUGUGAACCACAUAUCCCCUGCCUGGUUCAGGCAGUUGGUUUUCUCUCUUUUUGGCGGUGGGGGAGGGUCAUGGAGUACUUGUUUAAUUUUAUCAUAUUUCUUCGGCUCAUCUCUCCAACCUCUCUAAUUUCUGCAGGCUGAUUUCUGAUUCUGAGGCUAACCGUAUUUAUCCCUCCAUCCUCACGCCACCUCUGAUGUCAUCAUUUGCCUUGUUUAUUCUUGUACAAGUGGUUCAUAAAAUUCAGAGCAAGAUCACAGCUCAACGUAAAGCCCACAUUCCCCUAAGCUUGGUCUGAGAUCCAGGAGCUGCUGAAACACAGAGAAUUAGCUUCUGGUCCUCCUCUGUCCCCAGCUGCAUGGCCCUGAACAACUCAUUCUUCUUCUCUGGGCUUCUAUAUCCUCCUCUGUGAAAUGAGGAAGUUGGGUAAAGUGAUGUCUAAGGAAUCUUCAAGCUCUGCUCUUCAGAUUCAGUGAUUCAAAGUCUACAAGCCCCAAAUCACCAGAAGGAGGGAACUCGGGGAAUCUAAGCUCUUCCCAGAAGCAAAUCAUUCAGACCUGUGACAUAGCCUCAGCGGGGGAGUGAUGGUGACCCCGGAAUCUCACAUUUAACAAGAGGCACCUGGAGCCCUGACACCUGCUCCCUGGCCCUCCUUCAGGAAAGAUAUCCAGAGCCAUGAAUGAGGAGAAGAAAAUGGUGUUUCAAGCAGGACGGCCUUGAAUUAAAGGCCAGGAAGUAAAGAGACACAGGUUGGGGUCUUUUAGGAGACAGCUGGGGAAGGGAGGGGGUGUCUGAGCAAAAUGUUGGCUGCCAGGCUGUUUAUCUCUGAGUAACAUCAGCACAAGUAAUAACAGCCACCCACCUGUCCCUAGCACCAGGUCGGGGACUCACAACAGGAUGUGGUUUGACAUUUACCACGUCCUGCAUCUGGGGCGCCUGUGAAAGUCCCUCCCCUACCCAUCUUCUGAGCACCUCAAGAACCACACUCACCACAUCCUGCCACCACCCCUUUGCAUGCUGCUCUUUCUACCUGGGCCUCCAGUGAGCACCCUGGUGGUGGAAAUAGCACUACAGAGGGUGGAGGGGUCUCUAGAGGGCAUCUGGGCUCCACAGCCCCACAAGAAGACCACCUCACCCCCCAAUAUAAUCCUACACCUGCUGGAGGUUACUCCCAAGAUCAGAGGCUUCAUGGGCUCCUUGGAGACAGUGAAGAAUGAAAAACAGCUGCAAUAACUGCUCUGACCCAAUUGAGGUCCCUUCUGGCCCCACAUCACUCAGGCAACUCCCUCCUCCCACCCUCCACACCCUCCCACUUCCCUCCACUCAUCUAAUGAAGGGCCCUAAUGAGUCACAGGAAAGAGAGCCCCAGAUAAUCAACAGACUGAAAAACAGACGGUCCCUGGAUAUGGGAGCCAGUGUGUGUGCCAUACUGACUGGGUUUCUCUAAGCGUCAUCCUCUGUUGCUAAGGCCUGUGAGGUUGUGGGAUGGACACUUUCUAUCCCAUCUGGGUAAGCGGAGGAGGGGGAACAUACGCAGGAGAGAAUGGAAAACUAGGGAGGCAGAACACCCCAAAGCAAGGAGCAGGAAAUAAGAGAAUAGAGAACAGGCCAAGCCUACUUCAUAGCAGCUCAAAAGGCUACAGCACACUCAACCCAGAGCACAUAAUCCCAGUCAAACCAUGAGGCAGCCCAAUUUUUAUGUCACCAGCUUCCCAACCCUGGGCUUUCUCAAGCUAUCUACAGGCUCCAAGUUCUCUCCCUAUAAAUCCCAUGAGUGGCUGAGAUCCAGGUGAGACAUCAAAGGGAGUUCCUCUGGCCACCAGAGGAACUUUCACGUGCCAGUGGCCAGGGAAUGACAUGUAUGGGAAUAGUCAUCCUGGCAUACCUACAAAGUCAGCGCCACAAACGGGGUCCUGGCAGCUCUUCUAGGAAACAGACAACCUCAUCUUCCCAAUGGGGCAAUUGAGAUUGGUGAAUUCCUGGCAAGAGACAGCAUAUCUGAUCAGCAUCUACCAUCCUGAGCCAGUUUCCUUUGUCUCCUGAAAUUACAAAACUGUAGAUUUUUUAGUCCUAGACACUAUGGAAACAGGGGACUAGGACUCUUAUUCAUGAAUAGGGCAGAUAACAUGGAGGAUAUUAACUCUUUAGAUGGCUUUCAAACCUCUCCUUACCUAUUAAUGUCUCCUGUCUCUCUAUUACCCUGUGCAAUGAUCAGGAUUGUUUACUCAGUGCUUUUCUGGAACUUACAAUGUUCACUAAUUCACUAAUUCCAAAUUUCUAUUCAAACUGACUCCUCUGUUGAGAAUGUCAUUUUGUUUAUCUAAAUGCUAGAACCCUAAAAACUACAUCUUGCUAAAAUUCUUUCUCCUUCGUGAAGUUUUCUAGAACCUUUCCAAAUUUUCUACAGGAAUGAAAAGUCUAUUUUAACUCUCCUACCAUCUCCACUUGACUAGUAGUGAUUACCAGAACACCCCUCUGUUAAGAAGGACUCUGAGGCUGCAUAAAACCCCAAAGGAAAAAAUCAAUGACCAAUAACUGAAUGGGCACAACAUAGGGUGCGUUUCAUGGGUUUGCCAUCCAAGUAUAUUCAGCAUUUUAAACUAUUUACUACAUAGUUGAAAAUCUAAUCUUUUAAAAAAAAAGUCUUUCUUUUGGGUAAGUUGUAAUCAAGAUAUCCUGUAAACUUAAAGAGACGAAAAUAAUAUCUUUUGAAAAUUAGACUCUGUAAUACAUUUAUAUGUUUAUAACAAACACCAUCUCAGGUAAAAGACUUAACAGUCCAACAAGAGAAGUUUGACAGAUGAGGAAAAUGAGGCUGAGAGAGAUUAGACAAUUAGCCCAAGGUCAUAACAACUGGUAAAUUUAGUCUCAAAAACUAAGUGCCUUAAAAAUAUAGAGAUAGUAAAAAGAUCAAUGGUCCCCAGCAUUUCGAGGCACAGAGGAGAGAGAUGAUUAGGUGAAGCACAGAUCUGUAGGCAGUGAAACUAUUCUGCAUGACACUGUAACGUGAAUACAAGCCAUGACCUAUUUGUCCAAAAUCAUAGAAAUGUACAACACAGAGUGAAUCUUAGUGUAAACGUAGAUUUUAGUUAAUAGUAAUACACCAAUUGUUGGUUCAUUAAUAGUAACAAACGUACCACACCAACGUAAGAUGUUAAUAAUAGGCAAGACCGGGGGAGGAAAUGGACAUUUAUGAGAGUUUUCUCUAUUAUCUGCUCAAUUUUUGUGUUAAUCUAAAACUGUUCUAAAUAUUCAAGUCUAUUAACUAAAAAUAAUCCGGAAGCACUGUUUCAAGGAGGGAUCUAUUUCUGCUAAAGUUCAAUAAUCAGCUAAUAGCCAGACACUGGCUUGAGAUAUUGUUUACUAUUAAAUGUGAGCCAAACUUAAGCUGUAAAUACCUUUUUACUUCAUAGCACUGCUGAUUGACUUAGUAAAUUAAAAUUUUCACAAAUGGAAAAAAUAACGAACCAAGUGGCUUCCCUAAACCAUACUGUGACUAUGCACAGCACCAUUUUAAUCAUAUUUCGUUUUUCUUUUUAAUCCCUGUGAUGGCUCAGAAUGCCCAGCCCACAAGAACUACUUAAUAUAUAGUUUGCUCCUUAAGGUGCAAUAGGGACCUGUGGGCAUUAUUAAAUACUGUCUUGAUCACUUUGGGUCUCUGUCUCAGAUUUUCUUCUGCAGAUUAAAUGAUACUGAAAAUAAACAUGUGUGAAUUGUCCUAGAUGAAGUGACGCCAGGAACAGAGUAUUUUAAGACUUCUUGUGCCCCCUCGUGGCGCAGAAGAGACUUUAGAAAAGAAAAUCCUUUUAGAAUAAGGAGGACAAGGGAGGGAGGAAGGCUAGAGGGAUGAAGAAGGGAACCAGGUUGCCAAGGCAACCAUGGCAUCUCUUCCCAGCCAUCCCCAUAAGCCUUUUCCUCUCCUUCAUUCUCAUCCAAAUAAUUUCUCUGUUUUGGGUUUUAACAUUACACGCACAUGCCCUCUUCAUCUGGUUUCUUAUAUCUCUUUGAUCACUGUCUGUUUCUCUGCUCUCUCUUUUGCUGCAAGAGAAGGGAUGAGAGACAGUAAAACAGGAAUAAAAAAA